rnacentral:sRNA from 1 species
UGAAAGGGGGCAUAUAAACUCUGCGGAGA